rnacentral:misc_RNA from 1 species
AGGUGUGGGGUGUGGGGUGUGGGGGAUAUUGCAUUGAAAUCCACAAAACAGCACAAAAACUAACCAAUCCAUGAGCUUCUCUUUUUAACCAUUAACCACACAUAUCAUUUUCCUUUGAUUUCUCCUUGGUUCUUGGCCUUAGUACACUUUUUCCAAGAUUUCAUAUUUUUUUUGUUUUUGUUUUGAUGAACAAGAAUCUAGGGGUGGGUGAUUGAAAAGGGGACAACCCCACUUGGUUAAUAUACUUUCUCAAUCAUCCUUCCUUUUCUUCUUCUCCAUAUUUUCCCUUUUCUUUCAUAUAUCAAGAUUUGAUUUUUCCAAGAAAAGAGCUUGGUGCACAAAAAGUUGGUAUUUUGAUUAAAAGGGGUCUUUGUAUCUGGACUCAUCUCCUCUUUUUUUUCAUUAUUGAGGGAUUUUUCCAGGUGUCAGAGACCCAUAUCAGAUCUGUGUACAAAAAAAAAAUCCAUUCUUUAAUGUGCAUAUGGAUUCUUGAUGUGGGAAUAUCCAUUUUAGAACAACCCUUCUGUUUGUAUGCACAUAAAUAGAGGGUAAUCUUCUAUUUUCCCCAUUAGCUAUUUUAUGUGAACACAAUUAUCCAUUGUUUCCAUUUUCCUUAAAAGGGUAUAUAGUUAUAGAGUUUGUUUAGUCAGUCUUGUUAGAGUUUUGGCGAGGCCCACAGUUUGUUUUGGUGGGCUUCGUCAAGCUAAUAGAAGUAUAAUAUCUGUAUUUUGUUGAGG